rnacentral:snRNA from 1 species
GUGCUUGCUUCGGCAGCACACAUACUAACAUUGGAGCAAUACAGAGAAGAUUAGCAUGGCCCCUGCGCAAGGAUGACAGGCAAAUUCGUGAAGCGUUCCAUAUUUAA